rnacentral:lncRNA from 1 species
GCGGCGAGAUUCGGCCAGGGAUGGCGGCGCGGACGCGGCGACGUGACGCGCGGGGGUUUCCUUCGGGGAGACGAAGACCCUGACAGGUGGGUCCCACCUGUGAGCGGCUCGCGGCGGCGCGCACGCGCUUGGCCGGUUCGGUCGGUCGGGCGGCUAAGUGGGCCGGCCCAGUUGGGGCGGUCCGUUUCCUUUUUUUUUCUUUUCCUUUUUCUUUUUUUUUCUAUUUUUCCUUUGUAACUUUUGAUUUUGAACUCCAAAUUGACCCAAAUAAAUUCCAGAAAAUUAGUAAAAUCAUAUUAUAAUAUGAUUCAACUUUUGGGACUAUUUUCCCGUCCAAAUAAAAUAUAUAAAAAAUACAUUUUCCCUACAAAUGCCUUUAGGGCUA